UACAGAGGUCUCAAGCGUUGUUCGGAUUCAUUGGGCGUAAAGGGCUCGUAGGCGGCCAACUAAGUCAGACGUGAAAUCCCUCAGCUUAACUGGGGAACUGCGUCUGAUACUGGAUGGCUUGGAUUCGGGAGAGGAAUGCGGAAUUCCAGGUGUAGCGGUGAAAUGCGUAGAUAUCUGGAGGAACACCGGUGGCGAAGGCGGCAUUCUGGACCGAUAUUGACGCUGAGGAGCGAAAGCCAGGGGAGCAAAGCGGG
rnacentral:rRNA from 1 species